AUCCCCACCCACCUUAGAAACCCAAAGCUUCAUACGCUUUCCACCCUCUCUUGAGCGUCCUAAAAGAAUGUGACUGGGAGCACUGACGUCAUCCUAUGAGACCAAUUCAGGCCUUCACUGGGCAGUGACUUCCUGAAGACCUACUACAUCCUGGGCUUUGUCGAGAAGGACCAGGCGGCUUCUCAUGACAGAGGAGUUCUUUAAGGUUCUGCUCUCCAGGCAACUGGGAGCUCUUUGAUUGAAAACAGCACGACGAGCAUCCCAUCUCCUCUGGUUUUCUCUUCCCUUCCCCUCCUGGCACGAAGUAUCUUUCAGGGAAGCACCUGAGGAGGGUGAUGGGGCAUGUGUGGAGAAGGCAGAGGUUGUGGGAGCUCCUUGUACUGUUCUCAAAACUUCUCUGUAGCUUUGGAAGUUCUUCAGAUUAAGUGUUGGUCACUUAAAGAGCACAAGUAGUAUGGACUUGGGAUCAGGUGGAGACCAGUGGGUGGAGGCAGCAGACAUGAGAAGAUGCCCCCCUCCCCGGUCAGGCCAUUGCACUGACCCGUGAACAGAACUGUUCCCAUGGAAGCACAGGCUGGGCGAUGGGCUUGGGCUCCUGUGCAGCUUUGCCGCUAACUCCAUCCUUUAUUCAACAGCUUUCCGUGGAUGACCUGCCUGCUACCAGGUAUGGUGGCAUUUGUGAUGCUCUGCCGAGUUCUACCCAGUACUAAAGCAAU
rnacentral:lncRNA from 1 species